rnacentral:lncRNA from 1 species
CUUUCACUUUCACUUAGAGCAAGAUGGCAGCCCGCGUCCCUGUGUGAAGCCGUCUGCAGCAGCUGCCAGAGCCCUGCUUGCUGUUUCCUUUCUCACCACCCACCUCACCCGGAAAUCCCCUGGUGAUUUCAAGACCUGACCUCUGCACCCUUUUGCUCCCCACCUGUCCCAAAAAAGUGGAGCUAUAACUGUGGGAAAAGGGGAUCUGAAGUCAGACACAGGAUCCACAGUAGCCUGGGGACCUUUCUCACCCCCGCCCUUAAGCAGGCCCCAACAUAACCGGCUGAGAAACCUCCUCUGCCAGAUCCUGACCUGAGCCAGGAGGCGGCCAGGAAACUGGAUUUUGGGACUGGGAUUUCAGAGAGGAAGCUGGAGAGCUGCAGGUCUCGAAAAGGCACUCUGUCACGUGUACACAGGAAAGGGCCCUGACAAGAGGAUGGGACUGCAGUUGUGGCUGCCAGGGCCCCGGCCAGGGUGAAAACAAGGAACAUUCCAGAGAAGAUCACAAGGAUGCGAAUAAAAUCGGAGCUGCACAGGGAUCUUUGGGCUGAGCUUUCUGUCUGGCUUCCCUCCUGGCCCCUCGUGUAUGCAUUCUCUCUAGCGGUGGGGAUUAAGGAGAAAACUCACGUGGCCAGUGGGUAGAGAGAGUCCGGGCAGGCAGCUGCCUGAAGUCAGCCAGAGUCUGCAUGUGCCCAGCUGUCCUGGCCUCCAGCAUCUCUGGAAAAACAGAGACAGAAUGAGUAGCAGCAGGGGACCCCAUAGGGCACAUCUGAAGGCCUGAGAGGUGCUGGAUGGGAUGGGAAGGCAGAAACAGGCUGACCUUAUCUAGGGGUAGGAGUGGGGAGUACUGGUUGGGGUAUCACCGCUACCCCACGUGAUGGCACAGAGAGUUGCCUGGAACUUACCACUGACAUAAGGUUGGAGUGCAGUGGCACGAUCUCGGCUCAGUGCAACCUCCGCCUCCUGAGUUCAAGUGAUUCUCCUGCCUCAGCCUCCCUAGUAGCUGGGAUUACAGGACAAGGAGAGGGACAAAUUCCUUCUUGGCAUCCUUAUGGCCCUGUGACCUGCUAAUGAAUGCUGACUCUGAGUUGCUACUAGAAUUUGGUUUCCUUGUGGCUUCCCAGGAAUUGUGAGCCAUGUUGGAUAAGGACCUGCAAGGGAAGAAUGAGGAAGCCUGGGACAGUGCAGGAGGGGAGAGCACUGGUGGUAGAGAGGAGUGAUGACAAGGGUCUCCGCCAAAAGGGAAAUGGAGGGGUUAAAGAAGCUGCUGGGGAGGGUUAAAAACAAUGUGUUCUCACUCGUAGGUGGGAAUUGAACAAUGAGAACACUUGGACACAGGAAGGGGAACAUCACACACUGGGGCCUGUCGUGGGGUGUGGGGAGGGAGGAGGGAUAGCAUUAGGAGAUAUACCUAAUGUAAAUGAUGAGUUAAUGGGUGCAGCACACCAACAUGGCACAUGUAUACCUAUGUAACAAACCUGCACAUUGUGUACAUGUACCCUAGAACUUAAAGUAUAAUUAAAAAACAAAACAAAACAAAACAAAAACAAUGAGGUGCUAUUGUUUUAGUGGUGAGUAUCCGGAGACCUGGGAGUUCUAUUUACCAGGUAUAACCUGGGCUCAAAAUUCCAGGCUGACUUCAGGCAUGUCCUCAUCUCGGUCUCACUCUGCUCACUCUGUCUCCCAAGCUGGAGUGCAGUGGUACAGUCACGGCUCACUGCAGCCUCCACUUCCUGGACUCAAGUGAUCUUCUCACUUCAGCCUUCUGAGUAGCUGGGACUACAGCCCCCUCUGCAGCUCUUCAUGGGGGUCCACUCAAGUCAGAAGCCACAUUUGGGUGUGAUUCAGAGAGCUGUUUAUGCAAAACCAGCUUUGUCACCAUCAGGCAAGGCACCUGAAUUCCCACCGCAGAGAGUGUUGUGGCCGUGAGGACUUUUCUGUCACCAGCCAUUUCCAGGUAGACCCAGUGUAAUCACAAGCAUCCUUGUAAGUGGCAAAGAGGCAGAGGAGACAGCGCCAGAGAGGCAGCUGCAUGAGAAGGAUCAAGAUGUUGCUGACUUUGAAGUUGGAAGAAGAAGGCCAUGAGCCUCAGUAUGUGGGCGGCUUCUAGAAGCUGGAAGGGGCAAGGAGAUGGAUUUGACCCUUCAGCCUCCAGGGGCAGCUGUACCUGCCAUCACUGAUUGUAGCCUGGUGAGGCCUGUUUUAGACUUCUGACCUGUAGAGCUGUAACAUAAUACAUUUGGGUUGUUUUCAACCACUAAGUUUGUGGUAAUUUGUUGUAGCAGCUGUAGAAAAUGAAUACAUAUGAAUCCUCUGGCAUUUGUUUGAGAUUUGCUCUAUGGCCUAGUAUGUGGUUGUAAAUGUUCCAUCUGUGCCUGAAAAAAUGUAUAUUUCUAAUUCAGUAGUCUCUGCUUUUUUUUUUUAUUUUGUACCCCAUCAAUAAAAUGAUUUUCAGCAUGUAUCCCCAAAUAAACAAUAUUUUAUUUAUUGAUUGAUUGAUAAACAGACAUGUUUAAUGAUAGCUUGCUUUUCACAGAGGUGACUUCGGAGACUUCUAAUCUAUAAUCCAGGAGUAUAUAACCAUG